rnacentral:rRNA from 1 species
UGGGGAAUUUUGGACAAUGGGCGAAAGCCUGAUCCAGCAAUGCCGCGUGUGUGAAGAAGGCCUUCGGGUUGUAAAGCACUUUUGUCCGGAAAGAAAUCCUUGGCUCUAAUACAGUCGGGGGAUGACGGUACCGGAAGAAUAAGCACCGGCUAACUACGUGCCAGCAGCCGCGAUAAUACGUAGGGUGCAAGCGUUAAUCGGAAUUACUGGGCGUAAAGCGUGCGCAGGCGGUUUGCUAAGACCGAUGUGAAAUCCCCGGGCUCAACCUGGGAACUGCAUUGGUGACUGGCAGGCUAGAGUAUGGCAGAGGGGGGUAGAAUUCCACGUGUAGCAGUGAAAUGCGUAGAGAUGUGGAGGAAUACCGAUGGCGAAGGCAGCCCCCUGGGCAAUACUGACGCUCAUGCACGAAAGCGUGGGGAGCAAACAGGAUUAGAUACCCUGGUAGUCCACGCCCUAAACGAUGUCAACUAGUUGUUGGGGAUUCAUUUCCUUAGUAACGUAGCUAACGCGUGAAGUUGACCGCCUGGGGAGUAC